GGCUGGCUGGGUUGAGGAUGAGCAGCUAUGCAAAGAACAACAACAAAAAGGGUUUCCCCCAGCCAACAGCUUCUAAGCUUCCUUCUCUGCAGAGCAAUAUCAAUGAAGAAGAAAAAAAGAGUUCUGGAGGACCCUGAAGACAUACCUGUUUUCCCAGGCACUCAGCUGACACCAAAUUUUUAAAUUUUAAUAUGUUUUAAUCCAUUUUAUCUUUUUAUGUUUUUUAAACGUUUUAUGUUAUGUUUUAAUUCUGUAAACCACCUAGAGAUUUUGAUAUUAGGCGGUAUAUAAAUUCAUUAAAUAAAUAAAUUAAAUCAGUAA